GAGUUUGAUCCUGGCUCAGAUUGAACGCUGGCGGCAUGCCUUACACAUGCAAGUCGAACGGCAGCACGGGAGCUUGCUCCUGGUGGCGAGUGGCGAACGGGUGAGUAAUGCAUCGGAACGUAUCCUGGAGUGGGGGAUAACGUAGCGAAAGUUACGCUAAUACCGCAUAUUCUGUGAGCAGGAAAGCGGGGGACCUUCGGGCCUCGCGCUCUUGGAGCGGCCGAUGUCGGAUUAGCUAGUUGGUGAGGUAAAGGCUCACCAAGGCGACGAUCCGUAGCAGGUCUGAGAGGAUGAUCUGCCACACUGGAACUGAGACACGGUCCAGACUCCUACGGGAGGCAGCAGUGGGAAUUUGGACAAUGGGGGCAACCCUGAUCCAGCCAUGCCGCGUGAGUGAAGAAGGCCUGG
rnacentral:rRNA from 2 species